rnacentral:tmRNA from 1 species
GGGGGCGAUGAGAUUCGAUUCGGACCGUUGCGUUGCGGGGGGCAUGCCGAGGUGGUCAGGAGGCCUCGUAAAACACCUGACAUCAUUCAAGUGCCAACUACAACGCGGUAGCAGAGGCAGAAGCAAUUCUCGCCUCUGAGGCACUCCAAGUCGCUGCCUAAUUAAAUAGGCCGCGCCGCCAGCCGGAUCAGCCUGCGGGCCGGUUGGCGUGUUUGAGCAGGCUGGUCCCGCCGAUGCCGCUAUCGGCGGGAUGAGACCAUCAGCGGCUCAGUCCUGUUGCGCCGGCUCCGCGGGCGGGGCAGGAUGAAGCGUUCGAUGCGGGGCUACGCAUGUAGAGGGCCCACGACCUCGAUCCGAAGACGCGGGUGCGACUCCCGCCGCCUCCACUU